AUCUCUGGAAAACGAGACUUGCCUAACUUUUCAACUGCGGCGUUUAAGUCAAUGGAGACCGUCAGGUCUGCUCGCAGCCCCUCCAUCCGCCAGCAACAGCCUUGCCUUUCCCGAUCCUUCCUCCGCAACUCCCCCACCCCGGGGGGGGGGGGGGGGAGCUGGUGGCUGACCCUGGCGGAGGGAAGGUGACCCCCGGACCCCCGUCCUUACCUUCCUCUCGGAACACUCGGGGCGCCUAAGGCAGCAGCGCAGGCACGCGUCCCAGCAACAGUGACGGAGAGACGCCCCUUCGGUCCCGAGCCCCGGAGCCCAUCUUUCCCCGGCUAAGCUUAAAAAAUCAGGAUGGAUUUUUUUUUUUUUAACGCGCACAUAAGAGAAGUAAAAGAACGCGGGGAUCGGGGGUGGAGGGAGAGAGAAUCAAAGAGGGGAGGGCUGGGGGAAUAAAAGCCCCCCAGGAACCCGGAGCCUACGCCGUAGCCAAGUGAAUCCAACCUCCCACCGAGGCGCCGGCGGGAGCGGGGAGAGCCCCCGAAGACAGACGCUAAGGAAUUAAAAAAAAAAAAAAAGGAAGUGGCUUCACAGCCACUGGAGCUGUUUUUCCAGACCUGCCCCCCCAGCAAAGCAAUCGGCCAGGAAGCCAAGGAAGCGCGCCGAGCAGAGGCGGCGGCGCGGCCGAUGCGCCGGGGCGGCGGGUUCACUCCGCGGGCGCCCGCGGCCGCCUCGGGAGGCUGGGGCUCCUGUCUUCCCCUCUCCCCGCUCUCCUCCCGCCCCUCCGUCUCCUCCCGCCCCACAGCCCGCAGAGAGUCGAUAGAAUUGAAUCCAGCAAGGAACCAGAACCGGUGCAUCAACCUCAGGCUCGGUAUCUCUUCUUGCCUGUUCACUGGGUGCCAGUCCCUGUAUGACAGCUGUUGUACUGUACUACUGUACUUUUCAAGAGAAGAAGGCUUUAAAGAUCCUGAAACAAGUCAAUCAUUGGUCUAUUUUACACAUAAUCACUAAGCAGGUACUCCCCUUAAGGCAUGUUGUAACAUGUUUGGGAGUCAGAGGUGGUAAGAGUCCCACCAUUGCUAUGAUUGUCUCUGUUGGUAGAGGUAACCAGUGAAUAACUAGCCACACUUAAUUAUAUGUUGAAAAUGUAUCGAAUGUCUCAGAGGAAAAAGAAAGCACAUUCUGAAAAGUGAGAAGCACGUGUGGUGGUGGAGGGGGGCAUACGAUCAGGUAUUGGUGGGCAGAGAACAGUUUUCUGAGGAAGUGGCAUUUAAUCAGAGAGCUGAAGGACAGUGAGAGGUGACUAGUCAUCUUCGCCAAGGGGAACAAACGGUGGAAAUACACUGAGAUGGGUGGGAGCAGAACAGGUUCAGAAAAAGAAAAUAAAAGUGUGGAGAGUGAAAAACA
rnacentral:lncRNA from 1 species